rnacentral:rRNA from 1 species
UACGAAGGGGGCUAGCGUUGCUCGGAAUUACUGGGCGUAAAGCGUGCGUAGGCGGUUUCUUAAGUCCGUUGUGAAAGCCCUGGGCUCAACCUGGGAACUGCAGUGGAUACUGAGAGGCUAGAGUGUGUCAGAGGAUGGUGGAAUUCCCGGUGUAGCGGUGAAAUGCGUAGAGAUCGGGAGGAACAUCAGUGGCGAAGGCGGCACGCUGGGACGGUACUGACACUGAGGAGCGAAAGCGUGGGGAGCGAACAGG